UCUUAGACCGCAGCUGUUCAGUGUGGCUUUGAAACCAAGUCCAUUUGAAUUUAUUCUUCCGAACUUUCUGGCUGGGAUUAUGUAGUCGUCGUGGAAUAACACCUGUUGGCCUCCGGAUGGUGAUGAUAGAGAACAUUCAACAGCAUGUUAGCAGCAGAGGGCCUGUUUUCACAAAGCACUGCUGAGAGGAAAAGUGAUCAACUCUGGCAGUGGGCAUACUGUACGUAGAUGGCGUCUCCAUUCACUGAGCUGCAGGUGCUGACGAUCAUGUUCUCUUUCACGGCUUUCGCCUUCUUCACACUUAUUGGGAUCUUCAAUGAAGAAUAUGCACACUCGAAUGAGACUAACGGACAGCCACAAAGUGAGGAGCACAUCGUUUGACUCCAGAUGAGGUUGAGACAUGCCACUCAAAGCCUUGGGCUCUGUGUGUGUGUUUGUGUAUGGGUGUAUUAUCAGUUUCUAGAACAAAGUCUAAAUUGUGACCCCUUUAUGAGUGUACUUUGUUAUACGAUUGAGUGUUAUUUGUUUCCAGGAUGAUACAAAAAGGAGUGGCCUAGUUGGAACAAUGUUUAAAAAAAAAAGUCCGUUUAUAUACGCCUACUUAAACAAACUGUGACAAAACAGUAUCUUGCACCUGCUUUCUG